GAUGAACGCUGGCGGCGUGCCUAAUACAUGCAAGUCGAGCGAUCAGACGAGGAGCUUGCUCCUCUGACGUUAGCGGCGGACGGGUGAGUAACACGUGGAUAACCUACCUAUAAGACUGGGAUAACUUCGGGAAACCGGAGCUAAUACCGGAUAAUAUAUUGAACCGCAUGGUUCAAUAGUGAAAGACGGUUUUGCUGUCACUUAUAGAUGGAUCCGCGCCGCAUUAGCUAGUUGGUAAGGUAACGGCUUACCAAGGCGACGAUGCGUAGCCGACCUGAGAGGGUGAUCGGCCACACUGGAACUGAGACACGGUCCAGACUCCUACGGGAGGCAGCAGUAGGGAAUCUUCCGCAAUGGGCGAAAGCCUGACGGAGCAACGCCGCGUGAGUGAUGAAGGUCUUCGGAUCGUAAAACUCUGUUAUUAGGGAAGAACAAAUGUGUAAGUAACUAUGCACGUCUUGACGGUACCUAAUCAGAAAGCCACGGCUAACUACGU
rnacentral:rRNA from 1 species